rnacentral:rRNA from 1 species
UACAGAGGGGGCAAGCGUUGUUCGGAAUUACUGGGCGUAAAGGGCGCGUAGGCGGCCGCCUAAGUCAGACGUGAAAUCCCUCGGCUCAACCGGGGAACUGCGUCUGAUACUGGGUGGCUUGAAUCCGGGAGAGGGAUGCGGAAUUCCAGGUGUAGCGGUGAAAUGCGUAGAUAUCUGGAGGAACACCGGUGGCGAAGGCGGGAUCCUGGACCGGCAUUGACGCUGAGGCGCGAAAGCCAGGGGAGCAAACGGG